rnacentral:lncRNA from 1 species
CACAAGUCACAUACUCUCCCUGUGUGCAAAUGCUUUAUACCUUUUUCCAAAAAAAACCCCAGUGACCUCACAGCUCUUUGCCCUUCCUCCUCAAUCAGAGUCAGCCUCUGUAGGCCUCCUCUUAGCUCAUUUAAACCUCUCUCAGCUGAGGCCUACUGCACGACCUGAUGAAUCCCCAGGUGGGACAGUCUCUGGAUGACCUUUCUUUCAGUCUCGGCUUGACACUUUAUCUCCAUAUUCGUUCCUUAGAAAGAUUUUUGGGAGACAACCCUUCCCCAGUAAGAUGUGAUCGACAUUGCCCACAGUGGUAACAUCUCAUUAACACAGAUGUUUUCCUGGCAACUCAGUUCACACUGAUGCACAAGAAGGGACAGAAUGCUCACAGGAAUGGCCACUCCUAGAUGCAAGCAAUGACAAGUAUUGACAAGGAUGCAGAAAUAAGAAGCUCAAGUGUUCUGAAUAAAAUAUAAAAUGCAUAUGUUUUGG